rnacentral:rRNA from 1 species
UACGUAGGGGGCAAGCGUUGUCCGGAUUUACUGGGCGUAAAGAGCGUGUAGGCGGCCACGCAGGUCCGUUGUGAAAACUGAAGGCUCAACCUCCAGACGUCGACGGAAACCGUAUGGCUAGAGUCCGGAAGAGGAGAGUGGAAUUCCUGGUGUAGCGGCGAAAUGCGCAGAUAUCAGGAAGAACACCCGUGGCGAAGGCGGCUCUCUGGGACGGUACUGACGCUGAGACGCGAAAGCGUGGGGAGCGAACAGG